AUUGAACGCUGGCGGCAUGCUUUACACAUGCCAGUCGAACGGUAACAGGCCGCAAGGUGCUGACGAGUGGCGAACGGGUGAGUAAUGCAUCGGAACGUGCCCAGUCGUGGGGGAUAACGCAGCGAAAGCUGUGCUAAUACCGCAUACGAUCUAUGGAUGAAAGCGGGGGACCGUAAGGCCUCGCGCGAUUGGAGCGGCCGAUGUCAGAUUAGGUAGUUGGUGGGGUAAAGGCCUACCAAGCCGACGAUCUGUAGCUGGGCUGAGAGGACGACCAGCUACACUGGGACUGAGAAACGGCCCAGACUCCUACGGGAGGCAGCAGUGGGGAAUUUUGGACAAUGGGCGCAAGCCUGAUCCAGCAAUGCCGCGUGCAGGAAGAAGGCCUUCGGGUUGUAAACUGCUUUUGUACGGAACGAAACGGUCUGGGUUAAUACCCUGGGCUAAUGACGGUACCGUAAGAAUAAGCACCGGCUAACUACGUGCCAGCCGCCGCCGUAAGAC
rnacentral:rRNA from 1 species